rnacentral:rRNA from 1 species
GUUGAACGCUGGCGGCGUGCCUAAUACAUGCAAGUCGAGCGAAGCGGGGACGGGUGAGUAACACGUGGAUAACCUCCUAUAAGACUGGGUUAACUUCGGGAAACCGGAGCUAAACCGGAUACUUAACGAUGGAUUCGUACGGCAUUAGCUAGUUGGUCAGGUAACGGCUUACCAAGGCAACGAUGCAUAGCCGACCUGAGAGGAUGAUCGGCCAAACUGGAACUGAGACACGGUCCAGAGGCCGACGGGAGGCAGCAGUAGGGAAUGUUCCGCAAUGGGCGAAAGCCUGAGAGAGCAACGCCGCGUGGAUGAAGAAGGUCUUCGGAUCGUAAAGCACUGUUAUUAGGGAAGCGGUACCUAAUCAAAAAGCCACGGCUAACUACGUGCCAGCAGCCGCGGUAAUUC